GCAAGUCGAACGGUAACAGCGAGAGCUUGCUCUCGGCUGACGAGUGGCGGACGGGUGAGUAACGCGUAGGAAUCUGCCCAGUAGUGGGGGACAACCCGGGGAAACUCGGGCUAAUACCGCAUACGCCCUACGGGGGAAAGAUGGCCUCUCCUUGGAAGCUGUCACUAUUGGAUGAGCCUGCGUCGGAUUAGCUAGUUGGUAGGGUAACGGCCUACCAAGGCGACGAUGGUUAGCGGGUCUGAGAGGAUGAUC
rnacentral:rRNA from 1 species